rnacentral:lncRNA from 1 species
CCUGGACUUUUCAAUUCCUUGAACUAAUACAUUCCCUCUUCUUGCUGAAGUCACGCCCUUUAGGUACGGUGCUGAGUACCCAUGAACCUUAUCUCUGAUCACCACUGCAACUCACUCUUAUGGCAUGGAUCAGCAAGCAGGGCUCAGAGAAGAGCCAAAUCAAUGGUACUCAUGCUACGAACAGGAGCUAUGGUAUUUUUACCAAAUCUGGAGACAGUGAUCUUCACUUUGAAAAACAGGUUCUGAGAAGCCCCUCAGAAGUGAGAAAGGCUGUAACCUAACCUCGAAAUUUAUUAGCAGAAGCAGGUAAGGACACUAACAGACACACAGGAG